rnacentral:lncRNA from 1 species
UUUCUUCCUUCUUCCCUAUUCUCCCUUUCACUUGCCAAUUUUUUUCUACAGUAUAUGAUGAUGGCCAAAUUACCCAAUAUCAACUGUUUCAAAAAAGAAAUGUUAUUUUAGAAGAUACCAUACAGCAAGAGACUUAUAGGUGUAACACCACUGAAAUUAUUUACUAAGCCCUGGCCGGGCAUGGUGGCUUACACCUGCAAUUCCAAUACUUUGGGAGGUUGAGCAGGCAGAUCACUUGAGGUCAGGAGUUCAAGACCACCCUGGGCAACAUGGUGGAACCCUGUCUCUACUAAAAAUACAAAAAUUAAGUGGACAUGGUGGCUAUCCCAGCUACUCAGGAGGCUGAGGCAGGAGAACUGCUUGAGCCCGGGAGGCGGAGGUUGCAGUGAGCCAAGAUUGUGCCACUACAUUCUAGCCUGGAUGACAGAACCAGACUCUGUCUCAAAAGAAAAAAAAAUUAUUUACCAAGCUGUGUUUUCAUAGUGUUUUUUAAUUCUCUGAACUGCUUCAGUAUCUGCAGUGUUUUUUUUACAUUUCAAAGACUUCCCACAUGUAACAUUUCAUUGGAAUUACCACUUUACAUCAUAGUUGAUAUGGAAAUUAUUACAUCUAACAGAUGAAGAAAAUGUAGACAUAAAGAACCAUUCGCUCUAAUGUCAUCCAGUGUAACUGCUAAGAGUUAGGAUUAGACUCAAGUCCUAUUCCUAAUCCUGUAUACUACCCUAAACUCCUAAGCCCCCAUACAUUGUACUUCACAGAAUGCUACUAGUGACUGUGCUCAUGCAUUCAAACAAGUUUUGGAAAUGUUGUGUUAAGCAAAGCUAACCAGAUUCCCAGAGUCUUUAUUAUGCAUCAUAAAUCCCCAGGAAAGAUCCAGAGUAUAGAGCAGGUGCCAUAAAGUUAAAAGUCCCACAAGUUUCAAGCAGGUAACAAAGGUGAGCAUGCAAGGGAAAGUAAGGACUUGGGGAUUAGAGGAUGCAUCCCCAUCUAGUGGAAGCCUGGUCACAUAGCAAUCCAGCCCAAUCUUGCUGGGUCUUUCCAGAGAAGCUAUAAAUCUUGGCUUUAAUUUCAAAUCUCCAGUUUUGUGCGUAUUGCCUCAAAUUUAAGAAAAAAAGGCACUAUAGUUUAAAACAAAUAAAAUUUUUGACCAGAUCGGGCCAGCCACAUUUGGGAAAACUGAAAUACCAUGUAUCAUAAUCUCAUUUGCCCACAGAAUUUUCCUUCAAAGGACUUAUACAUUUCCUAGAAUGAUAACGGUGUUAAAAAAUGUUGCCUCUGGCUGGGCGCAGUGGCUCAUGCCUGUAAUCCCAACACUUUUGGGAGGUCAAGGCAGGUGGCUUUCCUGAGGUCAGGAGUUGGAGACCAGCCUGGCCAACAUGGUGAAACCCCAUCUCCACUAAAAAUAAAAAAUAAGCUGGGUGUGGUGGUGGGCAUCUGUAAUCCCAGCUACUCAGGAGGCUGAGGCAGGAGAAUCACUUGAACCCGGGAGGCGGAGGUUGCAGUGAGCCAAGAUUGUGCCAUUGCAUUUCAGCCUGACAAGAGCAAAACUACAUCUCAAAAAAACAGAAAUGAAAACAAACGUUUUCCUCUGAAAGCAAGCAUCCUGUUACCCCAGACAACUAUGGUAUGGGUAGCUCUGAACCUCAACCAUGAAUUAUUUCAGAGUUUUUUCAAACUGAAAUUGAAAUUAAUGCCCAGCCUUAACUGUUCAUGUAGAAAUAUUUCUUUUCUGACAAAUCUAGCUCUUGCAAAUCUAUGCUUAGUAGAGACGGGGUUUCUCCAUGUUGGUCAGGCUGUUCUCAAACUCCUGACCUCUAGUGAUCCACCCGCCUCAGCCUUCCAAAGUGCUGGGAUUAGAGCAUAAGCCACCAUGCCUGGCUGGCAAAUAUAUACUUCUAAACAAUUAUGCUGCUUUAGUAUAAUUGUUUUUUAUAUAUUUUUGUACUGAUUAAAGAUAUCCUUACAAUAAGUCUAAUUGAAUUAUAAAAAAAAAAUUACAGGAAUUGACUAGAUAUGAGAAGGACACUUUGCCUUUCCAAAACAAUUUUAUCUUUCUUUUUUUUUCUUAAAAUUUUUUCUUAAUAGAGAUGGGGUCUUGCCAAGUUGCCCAGGCUGGUCUGAAAUUUCUGGGCUCAAGCUAUCUGCACACCUUGUCUUCCCAAAGUGCUGGGAUUACAGGCAUGAGUCAUGGCACUAGCCUCCAAAUCAAUUUUAAACAUAAAAGUGGUUUGGAGACGAUUUAGAAUUUGGGUCAAAACUAGUGAGUUUCAAACACUUAUAUCUGCAAUGUAACUUAUAAGUCAGAAAAGGCAGCCUUUUCCCUACCGCAGCCUUUUUUUUUCUCUCUUUUAUUUCUGACCUUCUUGGUUCUAAAAAUUUGUUCAGAAAUCCUGAUGGUUGUUUAAAUGCUUAGCACCAUGACACACAUGUAAUACAAAUUGCAUAAAUGGACGGGGCGUGGUGGCUCAUGCCUGUGAUCCCAGUACCCUGGAAGGCCAAGGCAACUGGAUCACCUGAGGUCAGGAGUUCGAGAUCAUUCUGUCCAACAUGGUGAAACCCUGUAUCUACCAAAAAAAUACAAAAAAUUAGCUGAGCAUAGUGGCAGACACCUGUAAUCCCAGCUCGUGAGGCUGAGGCAGGAGAAUCGCUUGAACCCGGGAGGUGGAGGUUACAGUGAGAUGAGAUUUCACCAUUGCAAUCCAGCCUGGGCAACAAGAGCAAAGCUCCAUCUCAAAAAAAAAAAUAAUGUAUAAAUAUGUUGAAUCACCUGGCAAAUGAUUUUCUUCCCCUGGUGUCUAUGUGUUCCAUACUAUUGUAGCCUCUUUUAACUGGUAAAAUAACUACCCCAAUUCAGAGAUCCAGUACUUAAUGCAUCACAUUUCCAGAGUCGUGAGAAAACAGCUAAACCUGUUAGAGUGAAUUAUACUCACUUUGUUUCCCCAUAGAGGAAAUAAAACCCACGAUUAGAAACCUUUGGAAAACAUAGGAAAUGCAACAUUUGGAAGUAUAUAGAAACAAGAGAUAAUCAUGCAAUGCUUCCAAAUGAAGUCUCACAUUGGAUUUGCUGAUUUUGGAGACAGAUUCCCCUCUUCUGGACAGCUUUGAUGGCCAAGAUAGAAGUUCAUUUGCUAUGUUUCCAGGGACUAUUCUCUUUGAUGGAUACAGGAUUUAUGGGGUCUAAAGAGAACAUACAAUUCUAAAGUGUUCAUGUUUGAGAGAAAACUCUGCAAUGAUCAGAAGGAUUGAGCCAGUUUUAGCAAAACAAAUUAGGACUACAUUAAUGAUGAGGUUGACUAUACACAGUUUGGAGUGGGAGAGUUACUCUACCCAGUAUCACUGACAUGUUGGAAUGCCAGAUGAAACUGAAACAGAAAAAUUGUCUUGGAGUCUAAAAGACAUCUGAUGUGCUGAUACCUGUUCAGUCUUCUGCAGUCAUGGGCGUAAACUCUCAAAGAGCACCACUGGGUCUUAGUCCGUGGCAUAAACAUUAUUCUCAAUGUAGAUAUUGUCUUCUGCUUGGACUUCCUUUUUAACUGCAUUUUGCAAAGCUUUAGUUUGAAGACUGCUAAAUGAAACACUUAGUUGUUGAGUCUCCUCUUUGAAGAAAUACUUUUUGGCAAUGAUGACACCCAAAAGAGCAAGAAGCACCAAGACAGAAAUACAGACUCCAGCACAGAUUCCUUUAGUGGUGUUGACCAUCUGUGGACUAUAUGCUGGGGACAGUUGAGUUUGAUUGUUAUUCCAAAGGCCAUCUGAAGACUCUGUCAUGGUGUCAUUCCCAUCUGUUGUGAAAGAGUGCAAUGGUGAGCUGGUGGGUUGUGUCCUUAUUUCUCCCUGAAGUGUCAUAGGGUGGGUUUCUGCUGGCUGAGGUGAAGAUGGUGAAGUGGCUACUGAUUGAUGGUUCUGCGUGGGCAAUGGCGUUGGAGGAACAAAGGUAGAGACCAUUGUUGUCAUUGGAACACUUGUUUUCAUUGAAAUGCUCGUUGUUGUUGGAACAGUCUUUGUCGUUGGAACAGUUGUUGUCGUUGGAACGCUUGUUGUCAUUGGAACAGUGAUGCUCGUUCAAACAGUAGUGGCGGUUGGAACAGUUGUGACAAUUGGUGUAGUCGUGACCCUGGGUGGCACAAUCUCCAAUGAUAGAGUGAUUUUCAUGUCAUUGAACCACCCACUGUGCUCAACAUGGCAACAAUAUAAGCCACUGUCAGACACAGCUGUAUUUUCUAUAGUCAAAGGGACAUCCCUUCUUGAAAGGUCCCCCAAUACCUUAUAGUGUGUGUCCUUCCGAUAGGUGACGUGGGUUCCAUUGGUCCAGACAAUGCUAUUUCAGCAUGUGAAUAAAGAACGUGCGCCUCUAUUCCAGCACAUGGAUGUGACAGCUCCAUUGUAGUGGCAGGGUAGCGUGAUAGACGGACCUGCCAUUCCACCAACCUUUACAGAACCAGCUACAGAAUCUGCCAGAUGUAGGAUGAGGCUUAAGAUGGCCACUUCAGGAUACAUUAUGGGAUCAGCCAGUUAGUUAGAAGGCAGUUUUCCAGCUUCUUCUCCCUCCUCCUAGUCUCUGUUUGUGGACGGCUUUAAAUGGUUUUCCACCCUGGGUGGGCCAGGUGUUCCUUGCCCUCAUUCUGGUAAAUGCACAACCUCCCAGCAUGGGCAUUAUGGCCAUCAUGUACAUGUCACAGUGCUGCAAAGAUUUUGUUUAUGGCCAGUUUUGGGGCCAGUUUAUGGCCAGAUUUUGGGAGGCCUGUUCCCAACAAAUAAUAAUCUCUGAACAUAAGAAUUUGACUAGUGUUAAUCACUCCACUUCUCCAGUACACUGAUACUUCUCCCUUUUUCUUAGCAUAACACAAAACAGAUACAUGACUACACACCAUCUGCUCUCCAGUGCGGAACAGAGGAACAAAGGCAUAAGCAAGCUUCAGAACACAGUCAGCCAUGUUCACCACAUCUAUAUCUAGCACUGCUUAAAACAAAGUCAAUGAGAAACUGAGAAGAUGAGUGACUACCCUAUUUUCAGCACUUAUUGUCACAAGAAAAGAAAACAUGCCCACACACUGUCUCCUUCUAAGGCACAGCAUCCACUUUCCUGAGGAAAAAGUAACUUUACAGCAUAUAUCUCAAUCUCACAUUAUUAGCAAGAUGACACUGGCUUUGAGCACACAAAGAACAGGCAUAUUAUAGACACUCUUAAGACACAUCACAUGGCCUGGCUUACCUGAUACAAUUUUUAAUUUCUCUGAAGUAAACUCAAAUUUCAAACAUGUAUUUCUUUAUUAACUUAUUUCAUUAAUUUCCACAGGGACUUCACAGAAAGUAUAUUCAACUUUCAUUCACUUAAUCUUACCACAAUAGAUGGUGUAACAUAUCCAGAAGACAGCCAUAUGUAAGACAUGCUCAUACCCCAAAGCAUAGAAAACUUAACACAACAGGGCCUUGAGGAAGCAACACUAUAACAGUGCAAAUAUACAAAUAUUUAAGAAAACCUACAUCACCCAACAAAGAGCAUGUAUGGUCACCACUACCCAGCACUCUCCAAAAUAAGUAGCUAUGAAUAGCUUAUUCAAAUUUGGCUUAUAUAUACUUGUCACCACAAAUUGGUUCUGAACAUACUGUUCCAAUUUUGGAUAUUCACAACAAGGGUAAUUAUCUGGUAAGAUAUAUUUAUAAUAACUUGUAAUUAGAUUCCUAAAUGCACACAUAUACUUGUGUCACAGUGAGGUGAAAAAAACUCUGAGUUAUUUGUAGAGUACCUUAAGAUUUAAAUUUCCAAAAAACAUUCUUAAGCUUAGUUUUACAAGUAUUCCACCCAGCAUCUCUUCAGCAAGCUAUUUCAAUUUUAAAAAGUGAGGACUAGGGAGGGCUUUUAAAAGUUUUAUUUCUUUCUGUUCAGUUUAUCUUAUCCCAUACAGAAAUGGAAUAAAGUGUGAUGUCUGUCCUAAUGAUAUUUAUGGUUGUGGUAAUACAGAAAUAUCUAUGCUUCCAAGCAAGAAAUGAAAAAUUAUGGUUUCCCCAAAAUAGAGAAACCAGUGCUACCUGGGGCCCAAAGAGAUGUUCAGGUUACAUCUGUCAGAAUUGAUACCAUGCAAGACAACCAUCUUUGGAGAACAGUGGGGCUCACCUGAGAUUUUGGUGAGUCAUGUGGAUGACAUCAGAGACAAGCAUUACACAAAAUGAGCAUCCCAAUAAGACUUUCAUGUGAGAUUGUCUUAGAAGAUGGUGGCCCAACUCACACAGAAGAGGACGGCUGUGCAUCCAAGAGAGACUGAUAUUUUUUCUCAGGAGCAGAAAUCUUAAUGUAGGAGAUGGCCACUCACUGAGUAGUUGAGGAAUGCCCUGAUGGAACUCUCUGGGGGUCAGAUUUCACACUGUCUCCCUGAGUUGCAUAAAGCACAGAACAGCAUGCCUGCACUCCAGCUUCUAGCAUGUACCAACUCAGCAGAAAACACAUCACUGUCUAUUUUGUUUCAAAAAUGCUUUGCCAUUUAAAAAAAGUUAAUUAAUAUAGUAGAAACCCAAGAACUACCUAGGGGUAGGGAGCAUGUCUGUCAUCAGAAGUUUUUAAAUGCUGGCUAGACAAACACUCUGUGGAAAUAAAUUUCACUCUUUGUGAGAGGGGUAAAAUAAAUCUUUUUCUUGGGCACUGACAGAUCUAGCCAAGAUCCUAGUAUACAGCAGAUAAACAGCAACUUCUGUUUACUAAACUUUAUUUUCACAGAUUACUGGUGAAGCAAAAUAUUGAUAUAACUCUAAGACAUGAAGGGUAUCACAAGACCACUCAUGUUCUUUAUGUGGUUUCAAUUAAGAAAUGAGGUGAAAAAUCUGGCC